CUUUGGUUCUAUUUUGUUGGUUUCUAGGACCGAAGUAAUGAUUAAUAGGGACAGUUGGGGGCAUUUGUAUUUCAGAGUCAGAAGGUGAAAUUCUUGGGAUUUCUGAAAGACAAACUACUGCGAAAGCAUUUGCCCAAGGAUGUUUUCAUUAACCAAGCACGAAAGUCAGGGGAUCAAAAAUGAUUAGAUACCGUUGUAGUCUUGACCAUAAACUAUGCCGACUCGGAAUCGGUGAAACGUAAUUAACGCGUUCAUCGGCGCCGUAUGAGAUAUCAAAGUUUUUGGGUUACGGGGUGGAGUACAUUCGCAAGGCUGAAACUUAAAGAAAUUGACGGAAGAACACCACCAGAUGUGGAACCUGCGGCUUAAUUUGACUCAACACGGGAAAACUUACCAGGUCCAGACUUAAUAAGGAUUGACAGAUUGAGAGCUCUUUCUUGAUUUUGAGGAUGGUGGUGCAUGGCCGUUCUUAGUUGGUGGAGUGAUUUGUCUGCUUAAUUGCGAUAACGAACGAGACCUUUUCCUGCUAAAUAGAACUACUUAGUUUUACUAAGUAUGUUCUUCUUAGAGGGACUUUUGACGUUUAGUCAUAGGAAGCUUGAGGCAAUAACAGGUCUGUGAUACCCUUAGAUGUUCUGGGCCGCACGCGCGUUACACUGAUGAAGUCAGCGAGUAUUCUCCUUGGCCGAAAGGUCUGGGUAAUCUUUUGAAACUUCAUCGUGC
rnacentral:rRNA from 1 species